AGCGAACGCUGGCGGCAGGCCUAAUACAUGCAAGUCGAGCGCCCGUAGCAAUACGGGAGCGGCAGACGGGUGAGUAACACGUGGGAACGUACCCUUCGGUUCGGAAUAACCCAGGGAAACUUGGGUUAAUACCGGAUACGCCCUUACGGGAAAGAUUAUUGCCGAAGGAUCGGCCCGCGUCCGAUUAGCUAGUUGGUGAGGUAACGGCUCACCAAGGCGACGAUCAGUAGCUGGUCUGAGAGGAUGANCAGCCACAUUGGGACUGAGACACGGCCCAAACUCCUACGGAGGCAGCAGUGGGGAAUAUUGGACAAUGGGCGCAAGCCUGAUCCAGCCAUGCCGCGU
rnacentral:rRNA from 1 species